AUACCUUUCUCGGCUUUUGGCUAAGAUCAAGUGUAGCAUCUGUUCUUAUCAGUUUAAUAUCUGAUAUGUGGGCCAUGUGGAGGGUCCACCACAGUAGCUUGCUGCUGGGGCACUCGCGUGUCGCCCAGUGCGUUGCACUGCUGCUUAGGCUGGCGCACCCCAA
rnacentral:snRNA from 1 species